rnacentral:rRNA from 1 species
UACGAAGGGGGCUAGCGUUGCUCGGAAUCACUGGGCGUAAAGGGCGCGUAGGCGGAUCUUUAAGUCGGGGGUGAAAGCCUGAGGCUCAACCUCAGAAUUGCCUUCGAUACUGGAGAUCUUGAGACCGGAAGAGGUAAGUGGAACUGCGAGUGUAGAGGUGAAAUGCGCAGAUAUCAGGAAGAACACCCGUGGCGAAGGCGGCUCUCUGGGACGGUACUGACGCUGAGACGCGAAAGCGUGGGGAGCGAACAGG